rnacentral:misc_RNA from 1 species
GAAAUGCGAUAAGUAAUGUGAAUUUCAGAAUUCCGUGAAUCAUCGAAUCUUUGAACGCACAUUGCGCCCUCUGGCAUUCCGGGGGGCAUGCCUGUCCGAGCGUCAUUACGCACCCUCAAGCCCGGCUUGUGUGAUGGGCCCCGGCGUCUUGUUCGCGAGACGGGCCCGAAAGGCAGCGGCGGCGUCGACCCGAUGAGCCCGAGCGUAUGGGGACUUCUGUCACACGUUCGCGGUGCGGACCGGCGCCUGCUUGACUUUUCUGAUUAUCCAGGUUGACCUCGGAUCAGGUAGGGAUACCCGCUGAACUUAAGC